UGAGGAAUAUUGGUCAAUGGGCGAGAGCCUGAACCAGCCAAAUCGCGUGAAGGAAGACUGCCUUAUGGGUUGUAAACUUCUUUUAUACAGGAAUAAAAAAGGGGACGUGUCCCUUAUUGCAUGUACUGUAUGAAUAAGCAUCGGCUAACUCCGUGCCAGCAGCCGCGGUAAUACGGAGGAUGCGAGCGUUAUCCGGAUUUAUUGGGUUUAAAGGGUGCGCAGGCGGGCUUUUAAGUCAGCGGUGAAAUCUCGGGGCUUAACUCCGAAACUGCCGUUGAAACUGGGAGUCUUGAGUAUGGAUGAAGUAGGCGGAAUUCGUUGUGUAGCGGUGACAUGCUUAGAUAUAACGAGGAACUCCGAUUGCGUAGGCAGCUUACUAAGCCAUAACUGACGCUCAAGCACGAAAGCGUGGGGAUCAAACAGGAUUAGAUACCCUGGUAGUCCACGCCGUAAACGAUGAUUACUAGUUGUAUGCGAUAUACCGUAUGUGACUAAGCGAAAGCGAUAAGUAAUCCACCUGGGGAGUACGCCCGCAACGGUGAAACUUAAAGGAAUUGAC
rnacentral:rRNA from 1 species